GGUGGGAGAUGGGAGAUAGGUGGUAGUGGGAGGGGUGGGGGUGUAGAAUCGUUCGAAAGGGUCGUUUCGGCUGCGCCGCUGCUCGGUCGAUGGUGGCUCCGCCAAGUGUCAACUUCUCGAAAUCCCAUGAUCGUUCGUUGGAAGCAGGGACAGUGCGCCCUGACCCGCGGUACGGGCUGAACUUUAGAUCACGGUUGACUUUUGCAACCCUCGCGUAAUACUUAUUCGUCGCAUGGACGAUCUGUCGUUUCAAAACGAUGAAUGAAAGUUUACAUCUACGCGCGCGAAAAUUAACUAACGCGAUUCGUAACGUUGAUUGGAUGUAAUCGAACGAAUUAUUUACGAGUUAUCGUCCCUACGAAAACAUUUAACCAGAAAGAUUUGUGAUGUGAUCGUUAAAUGUGACGUCGUUAUGUAAUAAAGCCUGCGACUCUACGUGCACAGAACAAAA